CCGUACAUCGGCGAUGAUGUCCGCCGCACCGCCGGAACGCGGUGAAACCGUCCGCGGGGACUGAUGACCUCUACCGAAGA
rnacentral:ncRNA from 2 species